UGUUUAUUUUUGCUAAUAAGCAAAAUGGGAUGAACUUUUCUGUUUUAUAAAUUAGUUUGGAAAUGAAAAAGUAAGUUUGAAAUUAGAAGAAGGAAUACAAGAAAAUAAAGAUUUAAUAAAAGAGAAUAAUGCCACAAGGCAUUUAUGUAAUCUACUCAAAGAAACCUGUGCUAGAUCUGCAGAAAAGACAAAGAAAUUGCCUGCUAUGUCAUGAAAUCUUCUAGAUGCUGAUGAAAAACAGCAGUGAACAAAGUCUCUACUCUUACAAGAGUGUAUAUUCCAUGGUGUAUAUGUGCCACAUUUUCUUUAUCCAGUCUGUCAUUGAUGGGCAUUUGGGUUGGUUCCAAGUCUUUGCUGUUGUAAAUAGUGCUGCAAUAAACAUACGUGUGCAUGUGU
rnacentral:lncRNA from 10 species